rnacentral:tRNA from 2 species
GGGCCAGUUGGCUAGUGCGGUUAAUAACCUGUCAGUCCGGGUGGAAGAAGCCCAGGAGUCUACGGAAUCUGAGCGGCGACGGUUGGAUUCCGUUAUGGCCCA